rnacentral:rRNA from 1 species
GGACCCGCACAAGUAGUGGAGCAUGUGGUUUAAUUCGAAGAUACGCGCAGAACCUUACCAACACUUGACAUGUUCGUCGCGACUCUAAGAGAUUAGAGUUUUCGGUUCGGCCGGACGAAACACAGGUGCUGCAUGGCUGUCGUCAGCUCGUGUCGUGAGAUGUUGGGUUAAGUCCCGCAACGAGCGCAACCCUCACUUUUUAGUUGCCAUCAUUAAGUUGGGCACUCUGAAAGAACUGCCAGUGAUAAGCUGGAGGAAGGCGGGACGACGUCAAUCAUCAUGGCUUUAUGCCUAGGGCUACACACGUGCUACAAUGGCAGGUACAGAGGGCAGCGAAGUCGCGAGGCUAAGCAAA